rnacentral:rRNA from 1 species
CAUGCAGUCGAACGGUAGCAGGAAGUGCUUGCACUUUGCUGACGAGUGGCGGACGGGUGAGUAAUACUUAGGAACAUGCCUUUGUGUGGGGGAUAACCAUUGGAAACGAUGGCUAAUACCGCAUAAUGUCUUUGGACCAAAGAGGGCUUUCGGGCUCUCGCGCAAAGAGUGGCCUAAGUGAGAUUAGCUUGUUGGUGAGGUAAAGGCUCACCAAGGCGACGAUCUCUAGCUGUUCUGAGAGGAAGAUCAGCCACACUGGGACUGAGACACGGCCCAGACUCCUACGGGAGGCAGCAGUGGGGAAUAUUGCACAAUGGGGGCAACCCUGAUGCAGCCAUGCCGCGUGUGUGAAGAAGGCCUUCGGGUUGUAAAGCACUUUCAGUUGUGAGGAAAGGUUGAUGGUUAAUACCCAUCAGCUGUGACGUUAGCAACAGAAGAAGCACCGGCUAACUCCGUGCCAGCAGCCGCGGUAAUACGGAGGGUGCGAGCGUUAAUCGGAAUUACUGGGCGUAAAGCGCACGCGGGCGGUUAUAUAAGCUAGAUGUGAAAGCCCCGGGCUCAACCUGGGAAUAGCAUUUAGAACUGUAUGACUAGAGUCUUGGAGAGGGGAGUGGAAUUCCAGGUGUAGCG